rnacentral:rRNA from 1 species
ACCAGACUCCUACGGGAGGCAGCAGUGAGGAAUAUUGGUCAAUGGGCGCGAGCCUGAACCAGCCAAGUCGCGUGAGGGAUGACGGCCCUACGGGUUGUAAACCUCUUUUGUCAGGGAGCAAUGGCGUCCACGUGUGGGCGUAUGGAGAGUACCUGAAGAAAAAGCAUCGGCUAACUCCGUGCCAGCAGCCGCGGUAAUACGGAGGAUGCGAGCGUUAUCCGGAUUUAUUGGGUUUAAAGGGUGCGUAGGCGGGACCUUAAGUCAGCGGUAAAAUUGCGGUGCUCAACGCCGUAGAGCCGUUGAAACUGGGGUUCUUGAGUGAGCGAGAAGUAUGCGGAAUGCGUGGUGUAGCGGUGAAAUGCAUAGAUAUCACGCAGAACCCCGAUUGCGAAGGCAGCAUACCGGCGCUCAACUGACGCUGAGGCACGAAAGUGCGGGUAUCGAACAGGAUUAGAUACCCCUGUA